rnacentral:rRNA from 1 species
AACGAACGCUGGCGGCGUGCCUAACACAUGCAAGUCGAACGAGAAUUUUCCCUUCGGGGAAAUAGUAAAGUGGCGCAAGGGUGAGUAACACGUGAAUAAUCUGCCUACGAAUUUGGGAUAACGCGGGGAAACCUGUGCUAAUACCAGAUAAGACCACGUCUCUUAUGUGAUGUGGCCAAAGGAGCCUCAAGCUCCGUUUGUAGAUGAGUUCGCGGACCAUUAGCUAGUUGGAGGGAUAAAAGCCCCCCAAGGCUACGAUGGUUAGCCGGCCUGAGAGGGUGAUCGGCCACACUGGAACUGAGACACGGUCCAGACUCCUACGGGAGGCAGCAGUGGGGAAUAUUGCGCAAUGGGGCGAAAGCCUGACGCAGCAACGCCGCGUGAGGGAUG